AAACAUGAGAGUUUGAUCCUGGCUCAGGAUGAACGCUGGCGGCGUGCCUAACACAUGCAAGUCGAACGAAGCAAAUUAACGGAAGUUUUCGGAUGGAAGUUGAAUUGACUGAGUGGCGGACGGGUGAGUAACGCGUGGGUAACCUGCCUUGUACUGGGGGACAACAGUUAGAAAUGACUGCUAAUACCGCAUAAGCGCACAGUAUCGCAUGAUACAGUGUGAAAAACUCCGGUGGUACAAGAUGGACCCGCGUCUGAUUAGCUAGUUGG
rnacentral:ncRNA from 1 species